CAGAUGGGAGCUUGCUCCCUGAAGUCAGCGGCGGACGGGUGAGUAACACGUGGGCAACCUGCCUGUAAGACUGGGAUAACUCCGGGAAACCGGGGCUAAUACCGGAUAAUUCUUUCCCUCACAUGAGGGAAAGCUGAAAGAUGGUUUCGGCUAUCACUUACAGAUGGGCCCGCGGCGCAUUAGCUAGUUGGUGAGGUAACGGCUCACCAAGGCAACGAUGCGUAGCCGACCUGAGAGGGUGAUCGGCCACACUGGGACUGAGACACGGCCCAGACUCCUACGGGAGGCAGCAGUAGGGAAUCUUCCGCAAUGGACGAAAGUCUGACGGAGCAACGCCGCGUGAGUGAUGAAGGUUUUCGGAUCGUAAAACUCUGUUGUUAGGGAAGAACAAGUACCGGAGUAACUGCCGGUACCUUGACGGUACCUAACCAGAAAGCCACGG
rnacentral:rRNA from 1 species